rnacentral:rRNA from 1 species
AUACGGAGGGUGCGAGCGUUAAUCGGAAUUACAGGGCGUAAAGCGCGCGUAGGCGGUUUGGUCAGUCGGAUGUGAAAGCCCUGGGCUUAACCUGGGAAUGGCAUUGGAUACUGUUUGACUAGAGUGCGGGAGAGGAGAGUGGAAUUCUCGGUGUAGCGGUGAAAUGCGUAGAGAUCGGGAGGAACACCAGUGGCGAAGGCGGCUCUCUGGACUGACACUGACGCUGAGGUGCGAAAGCGCGGGUAGCAAACAGGAUUAGAUACCCCGGUAGUCC